rnacentral:rRNA from 1 species
UAGGGAAUCUUCCACAAUGGACGCAAGUCUGAUGGAGCAACGCCGCGUGAGUGAAGAAGGUUUUCGGACCGUAAAGCUCUGUUGUUGGUGAAGAAGGAUAGAGGUAGUAACUGGCCCUUUAUUUGACGGUAAUCAACCAGAAAGUCACGGCUAACUACGUGCCAGCAGCCGCGGUAAUCGCAGGUGGCAAGCGUUGUCCGGAUUUAUUGGGCGUAAAGCGAGCGCAGGCGGAAGAAUAAGUCUGAUGUGAAAGCCCUCGGCUUAACCGAGGAAUUGCAUCGGAAACUGUUUUCUUGAGUGCAGAAGAGGAGAGUAGAACUCCAUGUGUAGCGGUGGAAUGCGUAGAUAUAUGGAAGAAUACCAGUGGCGAAGGCGGCUCUCUGGUCUGCAACUGACGCUGAGGCUCGAAAGCAUGGGUAGCGAACAGGAUUAGAUACCCUUGGUAGUCCAUGCCGUA